CCACGGCGAUGGUUCAUCAAGUCUUCAAAAAAGAAUAUAUACGAUUGCAUUGCAUAUACUAACGGAUGCGAUCAUACCAGCACUAAUGCACCGGAUCCCAUCAGAACUCCGCAGUUAAGCGUGCUUGGGCGAGAGUAGUACUAGGAUGGGUGACCUCCCGGGAAGUCCUCGUGUUGCAUCCCUC
rnacentral:rRNA from 1 species